GUGCUUGCUUAAACAGUGCUUAUACUAAAAGUGGAAUAAUACAGAGAAGAUUAGCAUGGUCCCUGUGCAAGGAUGACACACAAAUUCAUAAAGCAUUCUGCAUUUUU
ensembl:snRNA U6 U6 spliceosomal RNA